rnacentral:lncRNA from 1 species
AGCGUCUUUCGGCGCAUGCGCGGACUGGAGCUGUGUGCAGGGCCAGCGCGGAGCCCGAGCAGCCGCGGUGAAGCGCCUGUGCUCUGCCGAGACUGCCGUGCCCAUUGCUCGCCUCGGUCGCCGCCGCUUUAGCCGCCUCCGGGGGAGCGGCCGCCUAUUGUCUUUCUCCGCGGCGAAGGUGAAGAGUUGUCCCAGCUCGGCCCGCGGGGGAGCCCCGGGAGCCGCACGAUCCCGGAAUUCACAAUGAAAAUUGGAUUGAGCGGUAUUUUGGUGUUCAUUCUUUGCUAAUGACACUCCUUAAUGAAGUUAUUUGGAGAGUUUAUUGCUUCAGUACAGUAAAAACCAGUGUGCCUUUUUUUUUGUUAGUAGUCCCCCCCACAACAAGUGUUUUAUUUUUAGAAGAAGCAUUUUCUUCAGUUUUUCUGAACUGUUGGAUUGCGCAGAUGAGGACAAACGGUGCAGUUCUUGAAAGGUCAUUAUUGGCAAGUUUGUGAAGAAGCUAAGAUCAGUUGAGAUAAAUCAUUGUUACUAUUCUUGUAUUCUGUCGUGGACUCUUGGGGAUUUGCAGGCUGCAUUAAGUACAAGUUUUGUCAAGUUUGGGUGCACAUAUUACACUUAAUUUGGUUUGUGUGGCUUAUUAUAUGAACAUGAUUCUGUUUCAGUUCCCCAGAUGGAACUAGCUUAAAUGUCUGUCAUUCAUAGUGGAGCAAAA